rnacentral:rRNA from 1 species
UGAAUAGGAGAUGCUGCGGCAUUGAAGCAGUCUAUGUCAGACUUCCAAGAAAAGCUCGCAAUGUCAGAAACAAUGAAUGCCUGUACCAUAACCGACACAGGUGGGUAGGUAGAGUAUACUAAGGGGCGCGAGAUAACUCUCUCUAAGGAACUCGGCAAAAUGACUCCGUAACUUCGGGAGAAGGAGUGCCUUAUUUUUAAGGUUGCAAUAACAAGAUCCAAGCAACUGUUUACCAAAAACACAGGUCUCCGCUAAGUCGUAAGACGAUGUAUGGGGGCUGACGCCUGCCCAGUGCCAGAAGGUUAAAGAAGUUGGUUAGCCUAGCGAAGCUGAUGACUGAAGCCCUGGUGAACGGCGGCCGUAACGAUAACGGUCCUAAGGUAGCGAAAUUCCUUGUCGGGUAAGUUCCGACCCGCACGAAAGGCGUAAUGAUUUGGAUACUGUCUCGGAGAGGGGCUCGGUGAAAUAGACUUGUCUGUGAAGAUGCGGACUACCUGCACCUGGACAGAAAGACCCUAUGAAGCUUUACUGUAACUUGAGAUUGAAAUUGGACUUUAUUUGCGCAGUAUAGGUGGGAGACAUUGAGAAUAUUCUUGCGGGAGUAUUGGAGUCAUCAGUGAGAUACCACUCUUGUAAUGUUAGAUUUCUAACUUUGUAUCAUUAUCUGGUCAAAGGACAGUUUCAGGCGGGCAGUUUGACUGGGGCGGUCGCCUCCCAAACGGUAACGGAGGCGCACAAAGGUUUCCUCUGAACGUGUAGAAAUCGUAUCUAGAGUGUAAAGGCAUAAGGAAGCUUGACUGUGAGACUUACAAGUCGAGCAGGGACGAAAGUCGGUCUUAGUGAUCUGACGGUGCUGAGGGAAAGGCCGUCACUCAACGGAUAAAAGUUACUCUAGGAUAACAGGCUGAUCUCCCCCAAGAGUUCACAUCGACGGGGAGGUUUGGCACCUCGAUGUCGGCUCAUCGCAUCCUGGGGCGGUAGUACGUCCCAAGGGUUGGGCUGUUCGCCCAUGAAAGCGGUACGCGAGCUGGGUUCAGAACGUCGUGAGACAGUUCGGUCCAUAUCCGGUGUAGGCGUUAGAAUAUUGAGAGGAGCCUUCUUUAGUACGAGAGGACCGAGAAGGACAUACCUCUGGUGUACCAGUUAUCGUGCCAACGGUAAACGCUGGGUAGCUAUGUAUGGAGUGGAUAACCGCUGAAAGCAUCUAAGUGGGAAGCCCACCUCAAGAUAAG